rnacentral:rRNA from 1 species
AGUCGAACGGCAGCACGGGAGCAAUCCUGGUGGCGAGUGGCGAACGGGUGAGUAAUAUAUCGGAACGUGCCCAGUCGUGGGGGAUAACGCAGCGAAAGCUGUGCUAAUACCGCAUACGAUCUAUGGAUGAAAGCGGGGGAUCGAAAGACCUCGCGCGAUUGGAGCGGCCGAUAUCAGAUUAGGUUGUUGGUGGGGUAAAAGCCCACCAAGCCGACGAUCUGUAGCUGGUCUGAGAGGACGACCAGCCACACUGGAACUGAGACACGGUCCAGACUCCUACGGGAGGCAGCAGUGGGGAAUUUUGGACAAUGGGCGCAAGCCUGAUCCAGCAAUGCCGCGUGCAGGAUGAAGGCCUUCGGGUUGUAAACUGCUUUUGUACGGAACGAAACGGCCUACUCGAAUACAGUGGGCUAAUGACGGUACCGUAAGAAUAAGCACCGGCUAACUACGUGCCAGCAGCCGCGGUAAUACGUAGGGUGCGAGCGUUAAUCGGAAUUACUGGGCGUAAAGCGUGCGCAGGCGGUUAUAUAAGACAGAUGUGAAAUCCCCGGGCUCAACCUGGGACCUGCAUUUGUGACUGUAUAGCUAGAGUGCGGCAGAGGGGGAUGGAAUUCCGCGUGUAGCAGUGAAAUGCGUAGAUAUGCGGAGGAACACCGAUGGCGAAAGCAAUCCCCUGGGCCUGCACUGACGCUCAUGCACGAAAGCGUGGGGAGCAAACAGGAUUAGAUACCCUGGUAGUCCACGCCCUAAACGAUGUCAACUGGUUGUUGGGUCUUCACUGACUCAGUAACGAAGCUACGCGUGAAGUUGACCGCCUGGG